UACAUAGCUCUGUCAGUAGAGCAUGAGAUACUUAAUCUCAUGGGUCGUGGGUUUGAGCCCCAUGUUGGGCAAAA